rnacentral:rRNA from 1 species
GAGAUCGGGAUAACACCUGGAAACAGAUGCUAAUACCGGAUAACAACAGAUGAUGCCUAUCAACUGUUUAAAAGAUGGUUCUGCUAUCACUCUUGGAUGGACCUGCGGUGCAUUAGCUAGUUGGUAGGGUAACGGCCUACCAAGGCGAUGAUGCAUAGCCGAGUUGAGAGACUGAUCGGCCACAUUGGGACUGAGACACGGCCCAAACUCCUACGGGAGGCAGCAGA